AGAUUGAACGCUGGCGGCAGGCCUAACACAUGCAAGUCGAGCGGCAGCACGGGUACUUGUACCUGGUGGCGAGCGGCGGACGGGUGAGUAAUGCCUAGGAAUCUGCCUGGUAGUGGGGGAUAACGCUCGGAAACGGACGCUAAUACCGCAUACGUCCUACGGGAGAAAGCAGGGGACCUUCGGGCCUUGCGCUAUCAGAUGAGCCUAGGUCGGAUUAGGCUAGUUGGUGAGGUAAUGGCUCACCAAGGCGACGAUCCGUAACUGGUCUGAGAGGAUGAUCAGUCACACUGGAACUGAGACACGGUCCAGACUCCGUACGGGAGCAGCAGGUGGGAAUAGUGGACAAGUGGGACGAAAGCCUAGAUCCGAGCCAUCGCCGCGUGUGUAGAAGAAGGUUCGUUACGGAUUUAGUAAA
rnacentral:rRNA from 1 species